GAUGAACGCUGGCGGCGUGCUUAACACAUGCAAGUCGAACGGUGAAGCAGGAGCUUGCUCUUGUGGAUCAGUGGCGAACGGGUGAGUAACACGUGAGCAACCUGCCCCUGACUCUGGGAUAAGCGCUGGAAACGGCGUCUAAUACUGGAUAUGUGAUGUGACCGCAUGGUCUGCAUCUGGAAAGAAUUUCGGUUGGGGAUGGGCUCGCGGCCUAUCAGCUUGUUGGUGAGGUAAUGGCUCACCAAGGCGUCGACGGGUAGCCGGCCUGAGAGGGUGACCGGACACACUGGGACUGAGACACGGCCCAGACUCCUACGGGAGGCAGCAGUGGGGAAUAUUGCACAAUGGGCGGAAGCCUGAUGCAGCAACGCCGCGUGAGGGAUGACGGCCUUCGCGUUGUAAACCUCUUUUAGCAGGGAAGAAGCGAAAGUGACGGUACCUGUAGAAAAAGCACCGGCUAACUACGUGCCAGCAGCCGCCGCAG
rnacentral:rRNA from 1 species